GUGCUGGCGACCUGCUGUCCUGACCCGUCUGGAUUGAGGGGUUACCAGAAGAGCGGGAGACAAGCUCCACGGUCUUCAGUGUCUGGCUUCCCUCGCUGGCUCAGCACGUUGCCGGGUGCGUCCACGUGGUGUGGGGUGUGGGCCGGAUGCCAUGCCCUGUCUGGAUGGAAGGGUCUGCUGACCCAUCUUCCCCUGAGGAGCCUGUGGGGUGCUCCUGUUUCUUGCCUGCCGUGAACAGGGAUGCUGUGAAC
ensembl:lncRNA